rnacentral:rRNA from 1 species
AGUGGAUGGGGAGCAACCUAGUUGUGCGUGUGUAAAGGUAGUGCCAAGAAAAGCGGUGAUCAUGAUGAAAAUCAAUUCCCGGUACCCGAAACCGACACAGGUGGGCAAGUAGAGAAUACUAAGGGGCGCGAGGUAACUCUCUCCAAGGAACUCGGCAAAAUGACCCCGUAACUUAGGGAGAAGGGGUGCCACCGAGAGGUGGUCGCAGUGAAGAGGCCCAGGCGACUGUUUAGCAAAAACAUAGGUCUCUGCAAACUCGAAAGAGGAGGUAUAGGGGCUGACGCCUGCCCAGUGCCGGAAGGUUAAAGAAGUUGGUCAGUCUUAGGAUGAAGCUAGCGACUGAAGCCCCGGUGAACGGCGGCCGUAACUAUAACGGUCCUAAGGUAGCGAAAUUCCUUGUCGGGUAAGUUCCGACCCGCACGAAAGGCGUAACGAUCAGGGCGCUGUCUCGGAGAGAGGCUCGGCGAAAUAGGAUUGUCUGUGAAGAUACGGACUACCUGCAUUUGGACAGAAAGACCCUAUGAAGCUUUACUAUAGCUUGGAAUUGUGUUCGGGCUUCCUGUGCGCAGGAUAGGUGGGAGGCGAAGAAGGUAUUCUUGUGGGGAUACUGGAGCCAACGGUGAGAUACCACUCUCAGGAGGCUAGAAUUCUAACUUAAUUAAGGACAGUUUCAGGUGGGUAGUUUGACUGGGGCGGUCGCCUCCAAAAAGGUAACGGAGGCGUACAAAGGUUCCCUCAGACUGGUUGGAAAUCAGUCGCAGAGUGCAAAGGCAGAAGGGAGCUUGACUGCGAGAAGUACAGUUCGAGCAGGGUGGAAACACGGUCUUAGUGAUCCGACGGUGCUGUGUGGAAGGGCCGUCGCUCAACGGAUAAAAGUUACUCUAGGAUAACAGGCUGAUCUCCCCCAAGAGUUCACAUCGACGGGGAGGUUUGGCACCUCGAUGUCGGCUCAUCGCAACCUGGGGCGGAAGUACGUCCCAAGGGUUGGGCUGUUCGCCCAUUAAAGCGGUACGUGAGCUGGGUUCAGAACGUCGUGAGACAGUUCGGUCCAUAUCCGAUGUAGGCGUGAGAAUAUUGAGAGGAGCCUUCCUUAGUACGAGAGGACCGGGAAGGACGCACCGCUGGUGUACCUGUUAUGAUGCCAAUUGUAAACGCAGGGUAGCCAAGUGCGGAGAGGAUAACCGCUGAAAGCAUCUAAGUGGGAAGCCCACCUCAAGAUGAGUAUUCUGGUGUAAGGUCACGGGAAGACGACCCGUAAAUAGGCACGAGGUGGAAGUGCAGAGAUGUAUGAAGCCGAAGUGUACUAAUAGGCCGUCGGCUUGAC